GACGAACGCUGGCGGCGUGCUUAACACAUGCAAGUCGAACGCUGAAGCUCAGCUUUUGUUGGGUGGAUGAGUGGCGAACGGGUGAGUAACACGUGAGUAACCUGCCCCCUUCUUUGGGAUAACGCCCGGAAACGGGUGCUAAUACUGGAUAUUCACUGGUCUUCGCAUGGGGGUUGGUGGAAAGGGUUUUUCUAGUGGGGGAUGGGCUCGCGGCCUAUCAGCUUGUUGGUGGGGUGAUGGCCUACCAAGGCUUUGACGGGUAGCCGGCCUGAGAGGGUGACCGGUCACAUUGGGACUGAGAUACGGCCCAGACUCCUACGGGAGGCAGCAGUGGGGAAAAUUGCACAAUGGGCGCAAGCCUGAUGCAGCGACGCCGCGUGAGGGAUGGAGGCCUUCGGGUUGUGAACCUCUUUCGCUCAUGGUCAAGCCGCAACAAUGGUUGUGGUGAGGGUAGUGGGUAAAGAAGCGCCGGCUAACUACGUG
rnacentral:rRNA from 1 species